rnacentral:rRNA from 1 species
ACUNCUUAGAGGGNCAAGUGGCGUUUAGCCACGCGAGAUUGAGCAAUAACAGGUCUGUGAUGCCCUUAGAUGUUCGGGGCCGCACGCGCGCUACACUGAAGGAAUCAGCGUGUGUCUGCCCUUGGCCGGCAGGUCUGGGUAAUCCGUUGAACCUCUUUCGUGAUUGGGAUAGGGAAUUGUAAUUAUUUCCCUUGAACNAGGAAUUCCCAGUAAGCGCGAGUCAUCAGCUCGCGUUGAU